rnacentral:sRNA from 1 species
AUACCAUGGUCAAAAGGUAUAAAUACCGAAUGUGCUUGCACAAUGCGGUAUUUAACCUUGAGACCCAUUAAACAUGAGCAAGCAGCGAUUUACGCAGUAAAUCUGCGGAUUGUGAAUGUUUUCAGGAUUGCGGAAAUUGCGUAGCAAUGUAGCAAUCCGUGGCAUC